rnacentral:rRNA from 1 species
AUGAACGCUAGCUACAGGCUUAACACAUGCAAGUCGAGGGGCAGCGGGGAGGAAGCUUGCUUUCUCUGCCGGCGACCGGCGCACGGGUGAGUAACGCGUAUCGAACCUGCCUCAUACUCGGGAAUAGCCUUGCGAAAGUAAGAUUAAUGCCCGAUGUUUUCAGCGGUCCGCAUGAACUGCUGAACAAAGAUUUAUCGGUAUGAGAUGGCGAUGCGUCCCAUUAGCUUGUUGGCGGGGUAACAGCCCACCAAGGCAUCGAUGGGUAGGGGUUCUGAGAGGAAGGUCCCCCACAUUGGAACUGAGACACGGUCCAAACUCCUACGGGAGGCAGCAGUGAGGAAUAUUGGUCAAUGGACGCAAGUCUGAACCAGCCAAGUAGCGUGCAGGACGACGGCCCUCCGGGUUGUAAACUGCUUUUAGUUGGGAAUAAAGUGCAGCUCGUGAGCUGUUUUGUAUGUACCAUCAGAAAAAGGACCGGCUAAUUCCGUGCCAGCAGCCGCGGUAAUACGGAAGGUCCAGGCGUUAUCCGGAUUUAUUGGGUUUAAAGGGAGCGCAGGCGGACUCUUAAGUCAGUUGUGAAAUACGGCGGCUCAACCGUCGGACUGCAGUUGAUACUGGGAGUCUUGAGUGCACACAGGGAUGCUGGAAUUCAUGGUGUAGCGGUGAAAUGCUCAGAUAUCAUGAAGAACUCCGAUCGCGAAGGCAGGUAUCCGGGGUGCAACUGACGCUGAGGCUCGAAAGUGCGGGUAUCAAACAGGAUUAGAUACCCUGGUAGUCCAUGCCGUAAACGAUGAUUACUAGGUGUGGGGGGUCUGACCCCCUCCGUGCCGCAGUUAACACAAUAAGUAAUCCACCUGGGGAGUACGGCCGCAAGGUUGAAACUCAAAGGAAUUGACGGGGGCCCGCACAAGCGGAGGAACAUGUGGUUUAAUUCGAUGAUACGCGAGGAACCUUACCCGGGCUUGAACUGAGGGGGAAUGAGCCAGAGAUGACUCAGUCUUCGGACUCCCUUGGAGGUGCUGCAUGGUUGUCGUCAGCUCGUGCCGUGAGGUGUCGGCUUAAGUGCCAUAACGAGCGCAACCCUCAUCCUCGUUUGCCAUCAGGUAAUGCUGGGCACUCCGGGGAUACUGCCAUCGUAAGAUGUGAGGAAGGUGGGGAUGACGUCAAAUCAGCACGGCCCUUACGUCCGGGGCUACACACGUGUUACAAUGGGCGGUACAGAGGGCAGCCACCACGCGAGUGGGAGCUAAUCCUCAAAGCCGUUCUCAGUUCGGACUGGAGUCUGCAACCCGACUCCACGAAGCUGGAUUCGCUAGUAAUCGCGCAUCAGCCAUGGCGCGGUGAAUACGUUCCCGGGCCUUGUACACACCGCCCGUCAAGCCAUGAAAGCCGGGAGCACCUGAAGACCGUGACCGCAAGGGUCGGCCUAGGGUGAUACUGGUGAUUGGGGCU